GGCAGGGCAUCAGCAUGAGGGGAUAAAAGGCUGGGCUGAAGAACAAGAGGGGCAGUUGCUUGCCGCUUUCUGAGGUGGAAUGGUGUUAUUCUCUAUGGGCCUGAAGCCUUCUAAUGAGUGAAUAAGAAUCCAUGAAAAAUAGGAACAUGGGGGUAUUUGAAGCUUGUGACUGGGGAAGACACAGCACAUUGAUUUUACAGGCAUAUAGACUGUGAUGAUUUUUGCUUUCAAGGUACUGCUGAAGAAGGACAGAACUGUGGAAAUGUCACCAUGGCUGUUGGGUGCCUUGAGCUGAGGCCCGUUGGCUCCUGGUUGUUUUGGUUAACAAGGCAGAAGUUCCACAGCAACCUUUCUUACUCACAAUGAAAUGCUCCAGGAGAUGGAAUGCUGCAUUGUGAAAACCAGCAAAUAUGAAAACCAUUUGUGAAAGAACUCUGCAGAAGGAGAGAUGCUGCAACACUCUGACCAUCUUUGUGGUGACUCCUCUGGACUCACUCCAGCAGAUCUGUGUGCUUCUUAUGUUGGAAACCCCAGAGCUGGUUGGUGCAGUGCUCCAGGUAGGAUCUCAUGAGCAGAUUAGAGAAAGGGAACCCUUCCCACUCCAUGCUGGCCACAGAGCUUUUGAGGCAGCCCAGGAUACGAUUGGCUUUCUGGGCUGCAAGUGGAAACCGCCAGGUCAUCUCCAGCCUCUCAUCCACAAGUACUCCAAGUCCUCCUCAGCAGGGCUUUUCCCACUGCCCAGCCCUUGCUCAGAAUUGCUCCAACCCAGGUGCAGGACCUUGCACUUGGGCUCAUUGAACCUAUGACGUUUGCAUGGGCCCAUUUCUUCACCAGGGUCCCUCAGGAAGGUAUUGCAUCCCUCAGGUGUGCCAGCUGCGCCACUCAGCCUGGUGUUGUACUCAAGCUUCCUCACUCUGGGUGUGACCAUCCAGCCAAUUCCUUAUCUCCUGAGUAGUCCAUCCAUCACAUCCCUGUCUCUCCAAUGUAGAGACAAGGAUGUCAUGUAGUGCACUGCCAAAUACCUUGCACAAGUCCAGGAACGUAUCAGUCACUCUUUUAUCAUCCAUCAUGAGUGUAACCGAGUCAUAAAAGGCCAAAUUUGUCAGGCACAAUUUUCUCUUAGUGAAGCCAUGCUGACUUUCAUCAAUGACCUCCUUACUUUACAUAGGCCUUAGCACAGUUUCCAGGU